rnacentral:rRNA from 1 species
UACAGAGGUCUCAAGCGUUGUUCGGAUUCAUUGGGCGUAAAGGGUGCGUAGGCGGCGCGGUAAGUCGGGUGUGAAAUCUUGGAGCUUAACUCCGAAACUGCAUUCGAUACUGCCGUGCUUGAGGACUGGAGGGGAGACUGGAAUUCCUGGUGUAGCGGUGGAAUGCGCAGAUAUCAGGAGGAACACCGGUGGCGAAGGCGGGUCUCUGGGCCGACAUUGACGCUGAGGAGCGAAAGCGUGGGGAGCGAACAGG